GGUCGUUCCGUCCAGUUCCAGUUCCGUCCCCUCACUUCUGAAUGUUCACGAGUCGUGGUCCAGACUGACGGAUCGAUUUUCCGCACGUCAACAGAUUUCGGCAAUUCUGUCAGACGACGGAGAAGGCCACGAAGCAAACUAAAACAUGUCGUUCGGCGACAAGAUAAGCGCUAUCAUGCAGAGGCCUGGACAGGAUCCUGCCAACAAGGACGACGCGCCUUGGUGGAUGAAAUACGGCGGUCGUGGCUUAGGAACUGUUGGAGGCGCUAUUGCAAUAUUUCUUGGAGCGUGGAACUGCGUUUCGAUACUGUUUGGUGGAGUUAGCUGCCUUAUCUCUGGAAUCUGGCAGAUGAUAGCCGGCUUCAUCGUCAUUACCGUGGAGGCUCCCUGUUGUUGUCUAUUCAUUGAUUUUGUGCAACAUUUUAGCGACUGGGUGGAAAAUAAGCCCUAUUGGAACCGAGCAGCGGCCUAUUGCCUGAUUGCGCUUCCAGCCAUCUUCCUGUGCCCUGCAUUGGCCAGUAUAUUUGGUAGUGGUCUGAUAUUUGGUACCGGUGUUAUUUACGGUCUGAUGUCCUUGGGUAAAAAGAGCCCAGUUGCUGUAAGUAAGGAAAUCUGAAACAGCUUUCUUAUCGAACCAAGGAAAUGCCGGAGCAAUUUCGCAGUUUACUCUUGAAAUGUCUGCCUCGACUAAAGACUGUAGCGGGAAGUCAGGAAGCUAGGGUCCAGGCCCGAACCGACAGGAAUGACGCCUCCGGGAGUGGGCUCUCCUCCGGCGGCUGCGCCUCCUGCGGAUCACCAUACGACGCUCAUGGAGGACCCUGAUGUCUGGAGGCCUACAUAAGUCGCCAG
rnacentral:misc_RNA from 1 species